ACGUAGGUGGCAAGCGUUGUCCGGAUUUAUUGGGCGUAAAGCGAGCGCAGGCGGCUCCUUAAGUUUGGUGUGAAAUCCCACGGCUCAACCGCGGAAGGGCAUUUGAUACUGGGGAGCUUGAGUGCAGAAGAGGAGAGUGGAAUUCCCGGUGUAGCGGUGAAAUGCGUAGAUAUAUGGAGGAACACCAGAGGCGUAGGCGACUCUCUAGUCUGUACCUGACGCUGAGGCUCGAAAGCGUGGGGAGCAAACGG
rnacentral:rRNA from 1 species